AGUUAAAACGCCCGUAGUAAACCUAAGAGUGUUUGCGGGGUAACUAGUUCCAUCAGGAGAUGGUUGGAGGGAGCUUAUAACUCCCUUUUGCCUACUCUUGGUGAACUUUAGCUGGGCAGGACUUCUGGUCCUCGUCUGGCAGUUGCCUCGUAUUCACUCGUCCACGGUUCAUCCGUGAGGCCCCUUUGGGUUGCAACUGUAAAUAAAUCGUUGUGCUUAAAGCGGGCUAUGAUACUCUGCCAGAGCGAUUUAGCAUGGGACUGCAGAGUAGCUGUAUUUGAGCGAAGGUUGGACUUCGGUUUGACUGUAGCUUGGUACAGCGCUUGUAAUGGAGCUCAGGGUGAGGCCCCGGGUACCAUGAGGCUAGAGGUGAAAUUCUGAGACCCUCAUGUGACCAACUAAGGCGAAAGCUGUCGUGGGCCACCACAAGCUCGUCUAUCAGGGACGAAAGUUGGGUUAUCGAAGACGAUUAGAUACCGUCGUAGUCCCAACUAUAAACGAUACCAACCGAGUAUUUGGGAAGACACUAUCCCAGCGAUCUUCUCAGAACUCAAGGGAAACCUUAAGUCUUUGGGUUCUGGGGGGAGUAUAGUCGCAAGACCGAAACUUAAAGGAAUUGACGGAAAGGCACCACCAG
rnacentral:rRNA from 1 species